rnacentral:rRNA from 1 species
AUUGAACGCUGGCGGCAUGCUCUACACAUGCAAGUCGAACGGUAACAGGCCGCAAGGUGCUGACGAGUGGCGAACGGGUGAGUAAUGCAUCGGAACGUGCCCAGUCGUGGGGGAUAACUACUCGAAAGAGUAGCUAAUACCGCAUACGAUCUAUGGAUGAAAGCGGGGGACCGUAAGGCCUCGCGCGAUUGGAGCGGCCGAUGUCAGAUUAGGUAGUUGGUGGGGUAAAGGCUCACCAAGCCAACGAUCUGUAGCUGGUCUGAGAGGACGACCAGCCACACUGGGACUGAGACACGGCCCAGACUCCUACGGGAGGCAGCAGUGGGGAAUUUUGGACAAUGGGCGCAAGCCUGAUCCAGCAAUGCCGCGUGCAGGAAGAAGGCCUUCGGGUUGUAAACUGCUUUUGUACGGAACGAAACGGCUCUGGUUAAUACCCGGGGCUAAUGAAGGUACCGUAAGAAUAAGCACCGGCUAACUACGUG